rnacentral:rRNA from 1 species
UACGUAGGGUGCAAGCGUUAAUCGGAAUUACUGGGCGUAAAGCGGGCGCAGGCGGCUAUGCAAGACAGAUGUGAAAUCCCCGGGCUCAACCUGGGAACUGCAUUUGUGACUGCAUAGCUAGAGUACGGUAGAGGGGGAUGGAAUUCCGCGUGUAGCAGUGAAAUGCGUAGAUAUGCGGAGGAACACCGAUGGCGAAGGCAAUCCCCUGGACCUGUACUGACGCUCAUGCACGAAAGCGUGGGGAGCAAACAGG